rnacentral:rRNA from 1 species
CGAAUUCGCCCUUCGCGAAUGGCUCAUUACAACAGCUAUUAUUUACUUGAUUUUGAUAUCCUACGUGGAUAACUGUGGUAAUUCUAGAGCUAAUACAUGCACCAAAGCUCUGAUUUAUGAAGAGCGCAUUUAUUAGACUAAAACCAAUCGGGCGUCAGCUCGUGUUUUGGUGACUCUGAAUAGCUACAGCUGAUCGCAUGGUCAUGUACCGGCGACAUGUCUAUCAAGUGUCUGCCUUAUCAACUUUCGAUGGUAGUUUAUGUGCCUACCAUGGUUGUUACGGGUAACGGAGAAUAAGGGUUCGACUCCGGAGAGGGAGCCUGAGAAACGGCUACCACAUCCAAGGAAGGCAGCAGGCGCGCAAAUUACCCACUCUCGGCAUGAGGAGGUAGUGACGAAAAAUAACGAGACCGUUCUCAAUGAGGCCGGUUAUCGGAAUGAAUACAAUUUAAACCCGUUAAUGAGGAUCUAUGAGAGGGCAAGUCUGGUGCCAGCAGCCGCGGUAAUUCCAGCUCUCAAAGUGUAUAUCGUCAUUGCUGCGGUUAAAAAGCUCGUAGUUGGAUCUGCGCUUGAGGACUUGGUCCACCAUUUCGGUGCUGAACUGAGCUCCUCGGCUAUUUUUUCAGCUGGUUUUCCCUACGUUGCCUUCACCGGUCGCGUAGGGUGGCUAGCGAGUUUACUUUGAAAAAAUUAGAGUGCUUAAAGCGGGCAAUAAAGUCUGAAUAUUUGUGCAUGGAAUAAUAGAAUAGGAUCUCGGCUCUAUUUUGUUGGUUUUCUGAUCUGAGAUAAUGGUUAAGAGGGACAGACGGGGGCAUUCGUAUCGCUGCGUGAGAGGUGAAAUUCUUGGACCGUAGCGAGACGCCCGACUGCGAAAGCAUUUGCCAAGAAUGUCUUCAUUAAUCAAGAACGAAAGUCAGAGGUUCGAAGGCGAUCAGAU